AUUGAACGCUGGCGGAAUGCUUUACACAUGCAAGUCGAACGGCAGCACAGUAAAGACUUCGGUCUUUAUGGGUGGCGAGUGGCGGACGGGUGAGUAACGCGUAGGAAUCUGUCCUGGAGAGUGGGAUAACCCGAGGAAACUCGGGCUAGUACCGCAUGAUAUCGAGAGAUCAAAAGCAGGGGACCCUUCGGGGCCUUGCGCUCUAGGUUGAGCCUACGUCGGAUUAGCUAGUUGGUGGGGUAAAGGCCUACCAAGGCGACGAUCCGUAGCUGGUCUGAGAGGAUGACCAGCCGCACUGGGACUGAGACACGGCCCAGACUCCUACGGGAGGCAGCAGUGGGGAAUCUUGGACAAUGGGGGAAACCCUGAUCCAGCGAUGCCGCGUGUGUGAAGAAGGCCUUCGGGUUGUAAAGCACUUUAGGUGGGGAAGAAAGGUAAUGAGUGAAUAACUGAUUGCUUUGACGGCACCCGCAGAAUAAGCACCGGCUAACUCUGUGCCAGCAGCCGCAGUAA
rnacentral:rRNA from 1 species